rnacentral:rRNA from 1 species
UUGAAAUCUGGCCCCCUCGGGGUCCGAGUUGUAAUUUGCAGAGGGAGCUUUUGGCGUCGGUCGUGGUCUAAGUUCCUUGGAACAGGACGUCACAGAGGGUGAGAAUCCCGUACGUGGCCGCCGGCCUUCGCCUUGUAAAGCCCCUUCGACGAGUCGAGUUGUUUGGGAAUGCAGCUCUAAAUGGGAGGUAAAUUUCUUCUAAAGCUAAAUACCCGCCAGAGACCGAUAGCGCACAAGUAGAGUGAUCGAAAGAUGAAAAGCACUUUGGAAAGAGAGUGAAAAAGCACGUGAAAUUGUUGAAAGGGAAGCGCUUGCGGCCAGACUUGCCCGCGGUUGAUCAUCCAGGCUCCGGCCUGGUGCACUCCUCCGCGGGCAGGCCAGCAUCAGUUCGGGCGGUCGGAUAAAGGCCUCUAUCACGUACCACCCCUCGGGGUGGCCUUAUAGGGGAGGCGCAACACGGCCAGCCCGGACUGAGGUUCCGCGCAUCUGCUAGGAUGCUGGCGUAAUGGCAGCAAGCGGCCCGUCUUGAAACACGGACCAAGGAGUCUAACAUCUAUGCGAGUGUUUGGGUGUCAAGCCCGAGCGCGCAAUGAAAGUGAACGGAGGUGGGAACCCUUACCGGUGCACCAUCGACCGAUCCUGAUGUCUUCGGAUGGAUUUGAGUAAGAGCAUAGCUGUUGGGACCCGAAAGAUGGUGAACUAUGCCUGAAUAGGGUGAAGCCAGAGGAAACUCUGGUGGAGGCUCGCAGCGGUUCUGACGUGCAAAUCGAUCGUCAAAUUUGGGCAUA